rnacentral:tRNA from 1 species
AGGCAUAGCUCAGCUGGUUAGAGCGCUUGCUUGACAUGCAAGAGGUCGGUGGUUCGAGUCCGCUUGUCUC